UGGACUUCAUCAAACCGUGUUCCUGGUGCGCAUUUCUGAUUAAAGAUUCCAUCGGUGAAUGAGUCCAGAGAACCAUCCACAGCCGUCCACAAACAUUCUGAAUCUGGUGUUAUUUCUGCGGUUGCAACAUCAGAAGAUGGAUGGGUUAUGUCGCCUUCGGUAGCUACAGUAACAUCACUGUCGCCGAUGAGAUUAGGUGCGAUUUCUCUCUCUGGUACUGUUAUAGAAGUGUUGGAUUCCGCUCCUCCAAUUUUGUUUGGAUACUCGUUAACCGGAUCUGUUAAAACGGUAUCUUCUCCAGGAAUAUCUGAGGUUGUCUUUACUACCACAGACGCAUUAACAAUAUUUUCUAAGGGUAUCUGAGAAUUAGCGACCUUAGAAUCAUUUGCUGUCGGCCCUGUGGCGGUGAGUAAAAGUAGAUCAUUUCUUCCAUCAAACGUCUCGUUGAGAUUGAAGUUGAAGUCCACUGUUGUGACGGGUGCCGUGGUUGUGGUGGGAUCCAUUGGAGAUGUAGCAGUUUGUAAAACGUCUGCCACCACUCCGCCAUCCCCCACAGGUAGAACUCCAGUCCCAGAUUCAACCAAGGUGGUCUCCCCAGGAUACGUUUCAACAACACCUUCUUGGCCGGUUACAAUUUCACCAUCUGCCGCUGCCCCAGGGUCUACAACACCAUCUGGGCCGGUUACAAUUUCACCAUCUGCCGCUGCCCCAGGGUCUACAACACUUUCUUGUCCGGUUACAAUUUCACCAUCUCCCGCUGCCCCAGGGUCUACAACACUUUCUGGGCCGGUUACAAUUUCACCAUCUCCUGCUGCCCCAGGGUCUACAACACCAUCUGGGCCGGUUACAAUUUCACCAUCUGUCGCUGCCCCAGGGUCUACAACACUUUCUUGUCCGGUUACAAUUUCACCAUCUGCCUCUGCCCCAGGAUCUACAACACCUUCUGGGCCGGUUACAAUUUCACCAUUUGCCGCUGCCCCAGGGUCUACAACACCUUCUGGGCCGGUUACAAUUUCACCAUCUCCUGCUGCCCCAGGGUCUACAACACCUUCUGGGCCGGUUACAAUUUCACCAUCUCCUGCUGCCCCAGGGUCUACAACACCUUCUGGGCCGGUUACAAUUUCACCAUCUCCUGCUGCCCCAGGGUCUACAACACCUUCUGGGCCGGUUACAAUUUCACCAUCUGCUGCUGUCCCAGGAUCCACUAAUGCUUCCCCACCGACAGGGGGGUCUUGUUUUGGUACAUUGGCAUUGUCCGUUAUGGGAGCUGUUUCCUUUGUUAAUACGUCUGUUCCAUCAGAAACUAGACUGGCUGGAGGGGUGAGAUCUCCAACACCUGGGUCAGUGGCCAGUGUGUCUCCCAGAACUUCUUCACCAGGAUUUGUGACGACCAAUGGAUCUUCAAAUGGGUCUGGAAUAAAUCAUCAAUGACUUAUUAUCAUCUUGGAAUUCUAGCUAUCCGAUGCUCUUGAACAUAGCUUACCCCCUGGCGCCGGCGGUCCUUCUGGAAAUGUUGCUAUGUUGGGUAAAAAUUCUGAUCCCGGAUCUUGGCCUACAAUGGAAUAUGAUGACAAUAGAUAUACAAAGGAACAGGGAAUAGGCGUUAUAUAUCAGGAUCCGUAAAAAGAACCAGGGACGAAUUCAAAGCUGUAAACAGGCGGAAUUUAUUCCAGUUGGAGACGGUGACCAUUUUUCUGUAAUACCUCUCAUAUUGUCACGAAACUGAACAGUAAAGGGCGACACCGCAACCAAGGUCAAGACUGGAGCGCUAUUGUGACGUCAUUUCCAAUAUUGAUGGAGCAAGUGCUUUUUAAUGGUGGGACUCGGCGUUAAACUGUAAAAAUUCAAUACAAAAGGGAGCGCUAACGAGAAAUGACGUCACUUUAGCGUACAGACGCAACUCAACAGCGUCCUCCAGGUCGCCAAGAACGAUAUGACAAACAUUAUCAGCUGUCAGUAAAGUGAAUCUUUAAAAAAUGUCUUAUUGACAAGUUAUCGACAUGUUCAGGGGACGAAUAGCAAACAGGUGAAUGUUGGAUGUCGUCCAUGGAAUUUCUAUCCUGAUGUAACAUUUAUACUAAUACAGUCAGCUGAAUAAGGAAAAUGCCAGUGACAUUUCUUAGAGUACAGAUCAAAAGCUGAUAUUUCAAUUUUUUUCUAAUAUGCAAAUCUCGUUAAGGUCAGCUGUUCGGUCUUUAAGAUGAUAUGCAGAUUGAGACAGCUAGAAUAACAGAAGAUAUAAAAUACAAAUUCAUUGUGGAACUCUCUCAACAUUGUCCUCAUAAAUUAUUCUACUUGCAUGAAAGGUGAAGAUAGCGAACAGUGAUCAAUCUCAUAACUCCUACAAGCAAUACAAAAUCGAUAUUUGGGCAAACACAGACUCCUGGACACACCAGAGGUGGGAUCAGGUGCCUAGGAGGAGUAAGCACCCCCUGUCGACCGGUCACACCCGCCGUGAGCCCUAUAUCCCGAUCAGGUAAACAGAGUUAUUCGUAGUAAAAAUCAGUGUGAAGAACGGCUUAACAAUCGGUAUGAAACACGUCAGACAGCAUUUGACCCAAUGAUAGGUUGUAUUGACGAACUAGAUCGUAAUAACGACCAUAUAAUUUGCGAAAUGCUGACUUCAAUCGAGACUGUUGAAACCCCAUUUCCAUCAACUUGUUUGUCAGUAACUUCGUUCAACCCUGGUUCUUUUUACGGCUCCUUGUUGAGAUAAAAAGAUGUUGUCAGUAGCAUGCUUCGAUUUAAAAACUGACUAUACGCAGAACAAGCUCUUGCAUAUCGAAUCAGUUGAGAGAUAUAAACACCAUAUGCAGGUGAUAAUGGAAUAUUGCUACAUAAAUGUGGGAAGUUGACAAUGGAGAAGCUGAAAUAAUACCGUUUGUCAUACAGUUGAGUUGUCAGUUUGCUGUUAAUGUCUACUUUCAAUAAAAUAUCUAAGUAUGAAGCAGAAGUGGACGACUCUGUGGUGUCGUUUAUUUCGAGCUCACAGGGAUAUAUCAAAUCAACAUAUCAAUGAAAGUUAUUAUUGUUAAUAGACAAAACGUCGUCGAUAUAUUUUAAUGUCAAUUGAAGGCCACAGCAAGAGAUUUUUUCUUCUCACGUAGAAGUUUUUGAAUAAAUUCUGCUUCAUAUGAAUAUAAAAACAGGUCAGCUAAUUAAGGAGCACAAUUCGUGUCCAUGGAAAUUCCAACAGACUGUUGGAAGAUCUGAUCACCAAAGACCACGAAGAUAUUGUCAAUGAGAAACUCUAACAUAUUGUUUUAUUUGAACUUCAGAGUACUUGUGCGUGGAAUCAGAGUGGUGUUUAACAAGUAAGUUUUUGGAUGACUGAUCACUAGAUAUGAAUGCAAGGUGAAGAUAACGAACAGUGAUCAAUCUCAUAACUCCUACAAGCAAUACAAAAUAGAUAGUUGGGCAAACACGGACCCCUGGACACACCAGAGGUGGGAUCAGGUGCCUAGGAGGAGUAAGCAUUCCCUGUUGACCGGUCACACCCGCCGUGAGCCCUAUAUCCUGAUCAGGUAAACGGAGUUAUCCGCAGUCAAAAUCAAUGUGCCAAGAACGGCUUAACAAUUGGUAUGAAACACGUCAGACAGCAUUUGACCCAAUGCGAGGUUGUAUUGACGAACUAGAUCGUUAUAACGACCAUAGAAUUUGCGAAAUGCAGACUUCAAUCGAGACUGUUGAAAUCCCUGUACCAUCAACUUGUUUGUCCGUAGCUUACCUCGAAUGAAUGUUUCCUUUUUCCAUUUUUGUUGAAGAAGCAACUGUCUAUGAUGUCAAAAAGUCUAGUCUUUAAUUUAUCGUGAGGAAUGGUUGUGUGUAGUGUUGAAAAGUCAUAGGUUUUAAUGUUAUUGAUUUGGGAAAAGUUUUGCGAUUUCAAGUUUACUAAAAGUUCUUUAGAAUUUUUUAGAAUCCACAUUUGAUUAACACCACUUCUGGCAUAUGUAGUCGCACAGUAAGUUUGAAGUUUCUCCUUCACAGCUGUUAAUAUUUUCGUGAGGAGCAAAGAUAGGGGCUUGGUAGAGCACAUACUGGAUCCAGCAAUGUAUCUUUGUUUGUAAGGGGUUUUAUGUAGUUUAGGAAUCCAGUAUAGGUAGGUAACUCAUAUUCAUUCGACCCAUUGACUGGGAUAUUAAAUGUGUUUAAAACUGAAGCAUGGUUUCGAAGAAAUUCAUGUUGGAGUAUAAGUACGAUUACCAAAAGUGGAAUUAAUGCCAAGUUCGUUUAAAAUAAAAUUGCAAUAAUGAGCCAUACAAACAAAGACAAUGUUGUUACUGGCUUUGUCAGCUGAAACCAAAACAUAUUCCUCAUGUAACCUAUCUAAUUCUUUUAUCACUUCUGGUUUACUAAACACAGAAGGAUAGAUGGCACGUACUUUUGUUUUCAUGUGUCUAAUGCGGGAUUUUAAUAUCCCUCUUAUGCUUUUAACCCAUUCUGACAAUGCAUCAAGUUCUUCUUUUUCAUAUUUAGGCCUUCAUCUGGCAUAAUCUUCGACAGAAUUCAUAAUAGAGAUGAAGUUCUGUCGCCAAUUAAAAGACCGAGGUUCUCUGUAUUUAGGACCUUUUAGAAUAAGUUAUUUGAGGUCCUCAUUUUCAACUAUAUCAACAUCACCAGUAAUGACAUGUCCAGCUGGACUAUAGUUGAAAGAAGAACAAGAACAUGUUGGUGGAUUACGUAUAAGAUGGUCUAUAUCUAGGCACUGCAAAGUUUGUUUAUAAAUUUUUUUAAAAAUUGGAUGCAAUAGUAGAAGUAUAGCUGUAGGAAAUACAGGGUGUAGACUUGAACUUGAAAUAAGUUGGAAUACACGACUGAACUCUUUUAUGACGAAGAAUGUUACUUAUGUUGACGGCAUCUAUUCCUUUGUUUGUAAAUUUGAGCUUAAGGAACUGGCGCCAUGAUUUGGAAGGAAUAUCAUCCAUGACCCGUGCUGGUUUAAGAACCUGUGAUAUGCAACAUCCAUAAUCAUAGAGUUCAGUCUGUAUUCGGAUGUUGAAAAUCCAAGUAUAGACUAGCUGUAGCUUCUUCAAAUAACGUAUGUAAAACUCUCAAUGGAACAGAGUAAAGUUUUGUACGAAUAUGAUGUAGACCUAAUUGUCUGUUGACGUAAGGCAAAAGUGAAUCAAACGUGACAU